rnacentral:rRNA from 1 species
GAUGAACGCUGGCGGCGUGCUUAACACAUGCAAGUCGAACGGAAAGGCCCAAGCUUGCUUGGGUACUCGAGUGGCGAACGGGUGAGUAACACGUGGGUGAUCUGCCCUGCACUUCGGGAUAAGCCUGGGAAACUGGGUCUAAUACCGGAUAGGACCACAUUUUGGAUGGUGUGGUGGAAAGUUUUUCGGUGUGGGAUGAGCUCGCGGCCUAUCAGCUUGUUGGUGGGGUAAUGGCCUACCAAGGCGUCGACGGGUGGACGGCCUGAGAGGGUGUACGGCCACAUUGGGGCUGGGGUACGGCCCAGACUCCGACGGGAGGCAGCAGGGGGGAAGAUUGCACAAUGGGCGCAAGCCUGAUGCAGCGACGCCGCGGGGGGGAUGACGGCCUUCGGGGUGAAAACUCCUUUCGCUAGGGACGAAGCGUUAUGUGACGGUACCUGGAGAAGAAGCACCGGCUAACUACGUG